CACGUAGUUAGCCGUGGCUUUCUGAUCAGUUACCGUCAAACCUAUAACAGUUACUCUACAGGCUAUUCUUCUCUGAUAACAGUGCUUUACGAUCCGAAGACCUUCUUCACACACGCGGCGUUGCUCCGUCAGACUUGCGUCCAUUGCGGAAGAUUCCCUACUGCUGCCUCCCGUAGGAGUUUGGGCCGUGUCUCAGUCCCAAUGUGGCCGAUCACCCUCUCAGGUCGGCUAUGCAUCAAAGCCACGGUAGGCCGUUACCCCACCGUCUAGCUAAUGCACCGCGGGACCAUCCUUCAGUGACAGCCGAAGCCGUCUUUCCCAUUCCAGUCAUGCGACUAGAACAACUAUGCGGUAUUAGUCAUCGUUUCCGAUGGUUAUCCCCCGCUGAAGGGUAGGUUUCCCACGUGUUACUCACCCGUUCGCCACUCGCGUUGAAAGGAACAAGUUCCCUUCUCGGCGCGUUCGACUUGCAUGUAUUAGGCACGCCGCCAGCGUUCA
rnacentral:rRNA from 1 species